CUGAUCAACGAAGAUCGAUGUGGACGUAUCGAUCUAUGUUUUACUACAUCCGAGAUACAAUACAAUAUUACUAAUAUUUAAUGUUCAUGUCCCUACCAGUAACCACCCAACAAGUCCAUAUUUUUCCUUUCAUAUAUUUCAUUCUUUAUCUAUGUUAUUCUAUUCAGCUCCAUCCUACAUAUAUCCUCUCGUGGGUCUUGCUUAUUAUUCAUCUUUUUUCUUUACUGUGUUCUUAUAUUUAUUCAAGUUACAAUUCCAUGAUCAUGAUGAUGAGAUUAUUAAGUGAGCUUAUCUUUGUUAUGUGUCUCUUGAUUAUGGCUAAUUCCAUUGGGUCAUCAGAUGCAGCAAGAAGAUUAAAUUUGGCGAGUACUGAGUUCAUGUUUGAUGAUGGAAACAAAAGGAGCUUAAAUUAUACUCCUAAUAAUAAUGUACAACUACAAGCUCUCACUCAAAGCCAUUGUAGGGUCUCCAAAGCAAAGGGAUCACUACUACAUUUUUGCCACUAUUUCUCUAACUACUUUACUACAAAAAAUAAAAACACUUCUAUUGCUACUUCUACCAAUAUUACUAGUAAUACUAGUAGUUCUUCAAUCUCAGAAGACAAAAGAGUCGUUCCAACUGGUUCUAACCCCUUACACAACAAGUAGCUCAGCUAUGGAGCUUUAUAUGUAUGAUCUCAAGGGACUUAUAUUAAUUAGCAGACAGGAGCAGCAUUAAGUUGAAAGCAGGUAAGCCAGGUAUGGGGACAAAAUACAGAGGAAAAGUCAAAGCUGACAUGAAGAAGAGAGAAGGAUAUAUAUUUAUAUAAUGGAAUUCGUGAAUACCAACAAGACCUUAUCCAGUCAAAGAGCAGAUACAUAUAAAUUAUAUAUUCAUCAUUUUGGUAUUAUUGUGUUAGCUAGCUCCACAUACAAAUGUUAAUUAAAGUUGAAUAUAGUGGAAUUCCUUUCUCGAUGGUC